rnacentral:rRNA from 1 species
UAAAAAAUUUGGCGGUAUUUUAGUCUAUUCAGAGGAACUUGUUCUGUAAUCGAUAAUCCACGAUGGACCUUACUUAAAUUUGUUAUCAGUUUAUAUACCGUUGUUAUUAAAAUAUUUUAUUAGAAUGUUAAUUUUUAUAAUUUUAAAAAAGAAAAUAUAUCAGAUCAAGGUGUAGCUAAUAUUUAAGUGGAAAUGAGUUACAAUAAAAUUAUUUAAACGAAUAUAAAUUUGAAAUAUUUAUUGAAGGUGGAUUUGAAAGUAAAAUUAUAAAGAUAAAUAAUUUGAUUAAAGCUCUAAAAUAUGUACAUAUCGCCCGUCACUCUUGUUAUUAAAAUAAGAUAAGUCGUAACAUAGUAGAUGUACUGGAAAGUGUAUCUAGAAUGCAGUUUAAAGCUUAUUAAGUAAAGUAUUUCAUUUACAUUGAAAAGAUUUUUGUGCAAAUCAAUAUAAAUUGAUUAAAUUUUAUUUAUUAAUUUUUUAAAAUUAUAAAUUAAGUUAUUAAAAAUAAUUAUAAAUUUAAUUGUUUUAGUAUUUAAUAAAGAAAAAAUAAUAUUAAUGAUAGUUUAAUAGUAUUGUAAAAGAAAAUUGAAAUAAAUUGAAAAAUUUUUAUUAU